UGCAGUUAAAAAGCUCGUAGUUGGAUUUGUGGUGUGUCCAGUCGGCCUUUGCUCUUUGAGUGAUAGUGCUGUAACUGGUCUGCCAUGUUUGGGUGGAAUCUGUGUGGCAUUAAGUUGUCGUGCAGGGGAUGCCCAUCGUUUACUGUGAAAAAAUUAGAGUGUUCAAAGCAGGCUUAUGCCUUGAAUAUAUUAGCAUGGAAUAAUAAUAUAGGACCUUGGUACUAUUUUGUUGGUUUGCGCACUGAGGUAAUGACUAAGAGGGACAGUUGGGGGUAUUUGUAUUCCAUUGUCAGAGGUGAAAUUCUUGGAUUUAUGGAAGACAAACUACUGCGAAAGCAUUUACCAAGGAUGUUUUCAUUAAUCAAGAACGAAAGUUAGGGGAUCGAAGAUGAUUAGAUACCAUCGUAGUCUUAACCAUAAACUAUGCCGACAAGGGAUUGGCGGAGUUUCGUUUCGUCUCCGUCAGCACCUUGUGAGAAAUCAUAAGUCUUUGGGUUCCGGGGGGAGUAUGGUCGCAAGGCUGAAACUUAAAGAAAUUGAUGGAAGGGCACCACCAGGAGUGGAGCCUGCGGCUUAAUU
rnacentral:rRNA from 1 species